rnacentral:snRNA from 1 species
AUAUAUUAUCAAAUCAUCAAAAAC